GCCUCCUUAGCUCAGUGGUUAGAGCACUGGUCUUGUAAACCAGGAGUCAUGAGUUCGAAUCUCAUAGGGGGCU
rnacentral:tRNA from 1 species